rnacentral:lncRNA from 1 species
GGAGCUGUGAGCUGGGGGGACUUUCAGAGUCGCUCUGCAUUAAGAUGGAAAAAAGAAGCUUGGAGAAGGGGAAAUGACUUUACCCAGCUAAGAAUAUGGCAAAGCUGAGCCAACUAGUCAAGUUUUCUGACCCCAAAUCCUGUAUUUCCCAUGACUCAUCUUGUGGAAGGCUGAGAUGCGGAAAUUGAGACUCAAAGAGGUUGAGCAGCAAUUCCGUGAGCUGAAACUUAAGCCCAGAUGCAUGUGAUUCCAGAGGCAGGCCCAGGCCCACUCGCCUCCUGUGAGUAUCAGGGAAGUCCAGUGCUGUCUGCUGCUGGCCUGUGAUGGAUGAAUUGGCCCUCUUGGACUUGGUCCAGUGCUUUCAAACUCGACUUUGUCCCUCCAUCCAUAUGUUCAGGCUUUUUUCCCUCCUCCCCACAGCCUGGGCAUGGCAGGUGAAGGAGCCUCCUCCUCUACUUUCUCUGCUUCUCAAAUGUUCUAAGACUUGGGAGAAGCCCAAAGACCUCCAGGCUCUUCACUCAUUCAUUCAACAGAUACCUUCUGAGCAUCUGGUAUGUUCUGGAUUUUGUCGUAGGGGUUGUGAACACAGCAGGCCAGGUUGUUGUCCGCAUGGAGGUUAUCAUGAACAAAUGCAUCAACGAGAAGAUUGUAGGGAAUGGCAUGAGCUUUGAUGUUACUAAAACAAGUUGGUGUCAUUGGAAGUGACUGGGGGAUGCGAGAGGGGCUGUUUUGCUAGCAUGUAGGGAAAUCCACUCCAUAGAGGGGAUGUUCGAACCGAGAUUUAAAUGAAAAGAAGCCACUCAGAGGAAGAUCUAGAAGAAGAAUAUUCCACACCAAGAGAGCGACAAGUGCAAAGUUCUCAAGGUUGGAAUGGACUUUACCAACUCAAGGAAGAGAAACGAGGCUGGAGCUUGGAGAGCAGGGGCAGAGGUCUGCUUCAGGGGACCCCCAAUCUAAGACAGAUAUCCCCAAUUUCACAUGAAGAGACUGAGGCAGCUGGAGGCAAAGCAGCUUGUACAAGACCCCACAAGAAGAGGAGGAGUUGCUUUCUUGAACUGCUGUGGUUUUACCCACAGUCACCGGACCGUGCUGCCGCCCUGGUGGGAGGAUGUGUCUGCCUGCACAGGUGGGAAAAUUAAGACCCAGAGAAGGAACUUCCCAGAGAGCUAUCCAGUGAGCCAAGUCAGAGUUAGGAGCAGGAGCCUCAAAUUCCCAGGAAAGCAGCACGGUCCUCGAGUUCCCCCAAAAGCCAGACGGCAUCUUUGACACCUGACUCCCAGGGGCCAGUCCUGGAGAGGACACCUGGCCUGGAGCCAACCUUCCUCUCCUCGCUGCCAAAGCUCUGCUCUCUGGGUUCUGGCACUGUCUGAAAAUUCCUCCGUUGGUCUGCUCUCGGCAGAGCAUAGAUUAUCACUCUUGUGCUAAUUAUUUUUAUGAUUAAAAGAUGAUAAAUUAUUAAACAAAGUCUGAAAAAUGUGCCAAGAUCUGCUCUGAGGCUGGGCCUGAGAAGUUGCCCCCUUGGCGUCCACGUUAAUUAAUAAAUGAGACUCUCCGUGGAGAGGAGCCACAGCUGGUAUAUCUGGCAGCCAGGCAGGAGCUGGCGGAGGCCAGAUGCCAUGCAGGUGGGGAGGAAGGGACUCCCUGGGAGUGCCCAGCCUGGGAUUUGGUAACAGAGUCCCCUCCCUCUCUGCUCCCAGCCUAGGACUCAGCGGAGAGCCCCUUGGUACCAUCCGAACAUCUGGCCUCUGGAAGAGGCCUAGGAUUUCAAGCUGAGAAGCUCCAGCUGAUACUUUAAUGCUGUUCCCCUCUCCAAAUGCAGACUUGGGAGCACCCCAAGUGUCUAAAGGAAGGCCGGAGACCAGGAUUCAAAUCUCUGCGAGCCCAUUUCUCCUUGGGUAACUUUUGGGUAGGUCACUCAAUGAGACGCCAAGCCUCAGUUUC